rnacentral:lncRNA from 1 species
AUUUAGGUUCUUUGCAUGAUUUAGGAAGCAACCUAUCCUUAAUGCAAAGCCAUUCACUUGAUCCAUGAUCAAUAUGAAUUAGAUUUGAAUCAAGGAAGAUUAAACCUCCAUGUAUCAAUGCUAACCACCAAUCUUUAACUCAUUGAUCAAAAAGAAGAAAGAAAGAAAGAAAGAAGAAGAAGAAGAAGAAGAAGAAUUAAAAUGUAUUAAUGGAAAUGGUAUGAGAUAAUCAACAAGCAUUGAGCAAAGAUAGAGAAGAUCAAGGUCAAAAAAUAGAAAACAGAAGCAAAAUGAGAAUUAGGAGUCAAGAAACAAAUAAAAUAUUUUUGGCAUUUUUUAAUAUUAAAAUAAAACUUGAAUUAAAAUAAUAAAGAAAGGUCAAACUUCAAACUCAGUUCAAAUCGACUUUGAAAAGUCCAAGUGAAUUAUCCCUACUUCAACAAGGUCAAACAAAGAUUGACAAAAAAUUUCAGCAUUUUUAGAAGUCAGAAACUAUUUUAAAUCAAUUAAAA